AAAUAAUCGCGGCCUCGCGUAAGCGGGGGUGAGGAAAGUCCGGGCUUCAUAGGGCAGGAUGCCGGAUAACGUCCGGUGGAGGUGACUCCAAGGCCAGUGCAACAGAAAUAAACCGCCUGUUUUUCAGGUAAGGGUGGAAAGGCAGUGUAAGAGACUACCACCUCCGAGGUAACGAGGAGGGUAUAUGUAAACCCCAUUCGAAGCAAGACCAAGCAGAGAACGUAAAGCUUGCCCGGCCAGUUCUCAGGUGGGUCGCUUGAGGCUAUUGGUAACAGUAGUCCUAGAUAGAUGAUUAUUCGUGGUAGCAAUACCGCUGACAUAACCCGGCUUAUCGUCGCGCUUG
rnacentral:RNase_P_RNA from 1 species